rnacentral:rRNA from 1 species
CAAGUCGAACGAGCGAGAGAGAGCUUGCUUUCUCGAGCGAGUGGCGAACGGGUGAGUAACGCGUGAGGAACCUGCCUCAAAGAGGGGGACAACAGUUGGAAACGACUGCUAAUACCGCAUAAGCCCACGACCCGGCAUCGGGUUGAGGGAAAAGGAGCAAUCCGCUUUGAGAUGGCCUCGCGUCCGAUUAGCUAGUUGGUGAGGUAACGGCCCACCAAGGCGACGAUCGGUAGCCGGACUGAGAGGUUGAACGGCCACAUUGGGACUGAGACACGGCCCAGACUCCUACGGGAGGCAGCAGUGGGGAAUAUUGCACAAUGGGGGAAACCCUGAUGCAGCGACGCCGCGUGGAGGAAGAAGGUCUUCGGAUUGUAAACUCCUGUUGUUGAGGAAGAUAGUGACGGUACUCAACAAGGAAGUGACGGCUAACUACGUGCCAGCAGCCGCGGUAAAACGUAGGUCACAAGCGUUGUCCGGAAUUACUGGGUGUAAAGGGAGCGCAGGCGGGAAGACAAGUUGGAAGUGAAAUCCAUGGGCUCAACCCAUGAACUGCUUUCAAAACUGUUUUUCUUGAGUAGUGCAGAGGUAGGCGGAAUUCCCGGUGUAGCGGUGGAAUGCGUAGAUAUCGGGAGGAACACCAGUGGCGAAGGCGGCCUACUGGGCACCAACUGACGCUGAGGCUCGAAAGUGUGGGUAGCAAACAGGAUUAGAUACCCUGGUAGUCCACACCGUAAACGAUGAUUACUAGGUGUUGGAGGAUUGACCCCUUCAGUGCCGCAGUUAACACAAUAAGUAAUCCACCUGGGGAGUACGACCGCAAGGUUGAAACUCAAAGGAAUUGACGGGGG